rnacentral:rRNA from 1 species
GACGAACGCUGGCGGCGUGCUUAACACAUGCAAGUCGAACGCUGAAGCUCAGCUUGCUGGGUGGAUGAGUGGCGAACGGGUGAGUAACACGUGAGUAACCUGCCCUCUUCUUUGGGAUAACGCCCGGAAACGGGUGCUAAUACUGGAUAUUCACUGAUUCUCGCAUGGGGGUUGGUGGAAAGGUUUUUUCUGGUGGGGGAUGGGCUCGCGGCCUAUCAGCUUGUUGGUGGGGUGAUGGCCUACCAAGGCUUUGACGGGUAGCCGGCCUGAGAGGGUGACCGGUCACAUUGGGACUGAGCUACGGCCCAGACUCCUACGGGAGGCAGCAGUGGGGAAUAUUGCACAAUGGGCGAAAGCCUGAUGCAGCGACGCCGCGUGAGGGAUGGAGGCCUUCGGGUUGUAAACCUCUUUCGCUCAUGGUCAAGCCGCAGCGUUGGGUUGUGGUGAGGGUAGUGGGUAAAGAAGCGCCGGCUAACUACGUG